CAGCUUCACCCCUAGGAGAUGCACUUCCUAGUUUGACUCCUUAAAUUUUUCUCCUAGGAGACGCACUUCCUAGUUAGAGCAUUUGGUUUUACUUUCAUCAUUGAAUUAUUUUACAUAUAGUUUAUGAUUUUGCUAACACUCACAAAAAUUUUCAUGGUGAAAACUAGGGGUAAAAAUUUUAUUAGUGUUGUUUGUCUUUGAUGAUUUGCAGGACCCGCCUGAAGAAUGGGAAGAAAGUCAGGACCCGCCUGAAGAAUGGGAAGCAAGUCAGGACCCGCCUGAAGAAUGGGAAGCAAGUCAGGACCAGCCUGAAGAAUGG